rnacentral:rRNA from 1 species
UGCCUAACACAUGCAAGUCGAACGUGAAAGGGAGCAAUCCUGAGUAAAGUGGCGUACGGGUGAGUAACACGUAGGUAAUCUACCCCAGAGUCUGGAAUAACCUGCCGAAAGGCGGGCUAAUACUGGAUAGAGCGAUGGAAUCCGUAAUUGGGUUUUUCGGGAAAGGGAGGAAGCAAUUCCCUUUGCUCUGGGAUGAGCCUGCGUCUCAUUAGCUAGUUGGCGGGGUAACGGCCCACCAAGGCGAAGAUCGGUAGCCGGCCUGAGAGGGCGCACGGCCACACUGGAACUGAAACACGGUCCAGACUCCUACGGGAGGCAGCAGUGGGGAAUUUUGCGCAAUGGGGGAAACCCUGACGCAGCAACGCCGCGUGGAGGAUGAAGCCCCUUGGGGCGUAAACUCCUUUCGACCAAGACGAUAAUGACGGUACUGGUGGAAGAAGCACCGGCUAACUCUGUGCCAGCAGCCGCGUAAU